rnacentral:rRNA from 1 species
AGCAGCCGCGGUAAUUCCAGCUCCAAUAGCGUAUAUUAAAGUUGUUGCAGUUAAAAAGCUCGUAGUUGAAUUUCGGGAUCAAUACGUCGGUCGUGCUUCGGUACGUACUGGCGUCAUUGAUUUCUCCCUUCUGACGAACCAUGAUGUCAUUAACUUGGUGUCAUGGGAAAUCAGGACUGUUACUUUGAAAAAUUAGAGUGUUUAAAGCAGGCUCACGCUUGAAUACAUUAGCAUGGAAUAAUGAAAUAGGACGUUCGAUCCUAUUUUGUUGGUUUUUAGGAUCAACGUAAUGAUUAAUAGGGAUAGUUGGGGGCAUUAGUAUUCAAUUGUCAGAGGUGAAAUUCUUGGAUUUUAUGAAGACUAACUACUGCGAAAGCAUUUGCCAA